AAAUCGCCGGAAGGAGAGGACACCAGCGGUGGCAGGCUGGGCAGAGGGCGAGGCCGAGGCCAAGUUGGGAUCGGACGACGACGCCCCCGCGCGCGAUGGGUCACCCCGAUUGCGUGGCCGCCUGGGGUCCCGCGCGGGCCCUGGGUGCGCUCGGCCCUUGGCUCCGUGCGCUCGGCCGGCGGCUGGGCUCUGCCCCGGGGCUCAGCGAGGGGGUGAUCACUGCAGCCCGUGCGGCCGAGCACCCGGGUGUCUUUGUGCCGCGGCCCUGUGCAGCCCCUCUCCGCAUGUCUUUGUGAGGCGCCCCGCCUGGCUCGAGCCCCGCCGGGCGCCCGCAAGGUGGGGGUGUGGCCCGGGGUGGCCCGCCUGGCCCGUAGCACCACUCUCCCCUCGCCUCGCCGCUCUUCCCUCCUUUCCGAACUCCCUCCUCCUGCUCCUGCGGUGUCCCCGCCCGGGCUCGCCUCCCCGCACACCCCUCCCAGCCCUAUGCGCGUCCGCGUCGCCCCAGCUGCCAAUGCGUCCUCCCCGCAGCGCCCUCGGCCUGCCUCCCGCUCGAGCCUCACCUGCACCCAUCACCCAGCGUCCUCCUGCCACCUCUUGCUCUAGCUGUCAUGCAUGCGUCUUCCAUGCCUUCCCGAAUCCAGUCCGGGUGUCAAGAGAGACCCCAGAUCUCUACAGGUGAGUAUCUUCCUCGCUAGCGCCCCUCCACCAGGGUGGCACAGAGAUACCAUCCCGCUGCCUUGUGAGCCUCAGAGUGGGGACUGCAAGAGUAUGGUGCCAGCUGUUCCAGGCUACACUGGGGAAGGGUUAAGCAAUAGUCACAGCACUCUCAGGGCUGCUUGAUUUGGGCCUGGAGUUCCUGAAUCCGAAAGGAACUGUAUGACUGAGUCAGGGGAGGAUGGAGGGAAACAGACUACAUUCUCUGGAACAACCUGCCAUCCCAUCCCAAGGCUGAUGCUAAGGAUGCUGAAUGCUGUGGGCGUGGGCAGAUUUUGUGGGGCUGGAAGACACCAGCCCUCAGGCUGAACUCGUUGGCCAGCCCCUCCCCAGCACUUGGAGAACCCCAGCUUGGGCGACUCUAUCCAGACACCUUGGCUGCACUCUUGGCGACAAGAACUGAUUUGGAACAGAAGUGGCCUAGAAAGGGCAGGAGAUUGGAUGGUGCCUUCACUCAACAUGGAAGAACUUUAAAACUGCCGGCCCUCCCUCUCCAGCUUUGCCAGCAGGAACUCCCAGCUGACCUCCACCUUCUGCCCCCAGCACCUUGCACACAGUCAGUGUUUUCCCAGGGAUCUGAAGGACGCCACAGACACAGCCUUGGCUGUAAUGUGAACCUCUUAGGUCGUUUACAAGACUCUCCAACAUCAAUGAUGGUUUUUUUUUGUACUUGUUGUUCUAUUUCUGACUCUAGAAUAGUCCCAGCACCUGUUCUGUCUGAUGAAAUAAAGCAUCCAUCUUGCUCCAAUUUAA
ensembl:antisense A430027H14Rik RIKEN cDNA A430027H14 gene